rnacentral:rRNA from 1 species
AGAGUUUGAUCAUGGCUCAGAUUGAACGCUGGCGGCAUGCUUUACACAUGCAAGUCGAACGGCAGCGGCGGGGGCAACCCUGGCGGCGAGUGGCGAACGGGUGAGUAAUGCAUCGGAACGUAUCCUGUAAUGGGGGAUAACGUAGCGAAAGUUACGCUAAUACCGCAUACGCUCGAGAGAGGAAAGUGGGGGAUCGCAAGACCUCACGUUAUAGGAGCGGCCGAUGUCCGAUUAGCUAGUUGGUGGGGUAAAAGGCCCACCAAGGCGACGAUCGGUAGCUGGUCUGAGAGGAUGAUCAGCCACACUGGGACUGAGACACGGCCCAGACUCCUACGGGAGGCAGCAGUGGGGAAUUUUGGACAAUGGGCGAAAGCCUGAUCCAGCCAUGCCGCGUGCGGGAAGAAGGCCUUCGGGUUGUAAACCGCUUUAGUCCGGGAAAAAGGGGUGCGAGGAUAAUACCCUUGUGCUUUGAUGGUACUGGAAGAAUAAGCACCGGCUAACUACGUG